CUCGUGAAUAGUGGUGAUGUGGCAUGAUCAGGCGAUGGGUGCGUCGAAAGGUCUGAUUGACAGUCGGUCCGAAUGUCGCCACAUGUCAAAAUUUGGGAGAAUCUCAAUUUGAAUGAAUUCAUCUUGGCUGUUAGGGGGUCCUAUAUAUAUAUUGGGUCCCUUUUAUCCUACUGAUUCCUUUUAGUACUAUUCUGAGAUUUUGAGAACUCUUGCAAUUGAAAGCUUCCCUGUAGGUGUUGAAGACUGCAGGCUCUUUUCUUCCCAUCUUCGUGGUCCCUUAGGCAUUCUUAGCUUCCAGGUUAGGCUACCCCUUCUUCUCUUUCAUUCCUUUGCCUUCCUUUAGAUACCAUUGCCAAUGGCUACUAGCAGUAGGAAAGGGUAAGGUCAGAGUUAGGGAGAAAGGUGACAGACCCGUAGAUAGAGCCCUUGGUUCCUAUCGGGGUAGUCGGUCGGCUGAUCCUGUUGGCGACUCUAUGUCGAAUCUGAUAGUGAAAGUUUCCUCUCUAUUGGAAUAUGCCGU
rnacentral:lncRNA from 1 species